rnacentral:lncRNA from 1 species
UUCGUAACAAGGCCGCAAGUAGGUUCGGAACGUGAAAAAAAAUCAAAAAAAUUCGAGUUGUAAUUUAAUUUUUUUUCCUUCCUUGUAUUUACCUUACUAUUGUAUUUGAGUAUCACAAAAAAAAAUCAAAAUUCAAAAAAAAAUUCGAAAAAAAAAGAAAAAAAAGAAGUGAGCAAAAAAAAAGAGUAAAAAAAGAAGAAGAAAAAAAAGAAGUGAAAAGUCUUGCGAGUUUUAUUUUCAUCUCUUAUUACUCCGAUCAUCAAGUAUCCCUUCCUACCAUUAUUUAUCCAUCCCAACGCCACACUUUAAAC